UACGGAGGGGGCUAGCGUUGUUCGGAAUUACUGGGCGUAAAGCGCGCGUAGGCGGCUUUGUAAGUUAGAGGUGAAAGCCCGGAGCUCAACUCCGGAACUGCCUUUAAGACUGCAUCGCUAGAACGUCGGAGAGGUAAGUGGAAUUCCGAGUGUAGAGGUGAAAUUCGUAGAUAUUCGGAAGAACACCAGUGGCGAAGGCGACUUACUGGACGACUGUUGACGCUGAGGCGCGAAAGCGUGGGGAGCAAACAGG
rnacentral:rRNA from 1 species